UUAUUAGCCCCACCUCAUCCAUAUCAAUUCAAUUGCAUAUUCUAAGAGAGGGAAAAUGCAGAGGAAAGGAAACGCGAAGAAGAAAAGAAAAAAGGGAAAAAAAAAUUUACGCCGAAUUCGUUAAAAGCCUAGUUCAGAUACGAUACUGGAAUCGGAAAAAAGGCUUUAAGAGUUAGGAUUAUUGACGUUUUUGGCGAAUUUCAGGUAAUCCUGAUGAUAUAUGACUUGUUGGACAGACUGGAGUAGCCAUGGCGCUCUUACAGGCAUUUUGAGUUACCGUGUACAUAGAUGACGACCUGCGGGCAGGACCGUGGUUUGUUUUGCUUUCGUUGUGCUAUAUUACGUCUGUUUUAGAAGUUGUAUGGUAUUGUUAUAAAUAGUAUGUCGAUUGUGUA